rnacentral:rRNA from 1 species
UACGUAGGCGGAAAAUUAAGUCAGUAGUGAAAUCCUGCAGCUUAACUGUAGAACUGUUAUUGAUACUGGUUUUCUUGAAUAUAGUUGAGGUAAGCGGAAUGUGUAAUGUAGCGGUGAAAUGCUUAGAUAUUACACAGAACACCGAUUGCGAAGGCAGCUUACUAAGCUAUGAUUGACGCUGAGGUACGAAAGCGUGGGGAGCGAACAGGAUUAGAUACCAUGGUAGUCC